AUGACCUUGGAGUCACUGCCUUGGGUGGAAGGUACCAUUUCCGGGCAAGUGGGUCACCGCCCUCGCUGGAAGGUACCAUUUCCGGGCAAGUGGGUCACCGCCUUCGCUGGAAGGUACCAUUUCCGGGCAAGUGGGUCACCACCGUGGGUGGAAGGUACCAUUCCCAGUAAAGUGGGUCACUGCCUUCGCUGGAAGGUACCACUUCCGGGCAAGGGGGGGGUCACCGCCUUGGGUGGAAGGUACCAUUCCCGGGCAAACGCGUCACCGUCUUGGGGGGAAGGUACCAUUUCCGGGCAAGUGGGUCACCGCCUUGGGUGGAAGGUGCCAUUUCCGGGCAAGUGCGUCACCACCUUGGGUGGAAGGUACCAUUCCCGGGCAAGUGGGUCACUGCCUUCACUGGAAGGUACCACUUCCGGGCAAGGGGGUCACCGCCUUGGGUGGAAGGUACAUUCCCCGGCAAGUCACCGUCUUGGGGGGAAGGUACAUUCCCCGGCAAGUCACCAUUCCUGGGCAAGGGGGUCACCGCCUUGGGUGGAAGGUACCAUUCCUGGGCAAGGGGGGUCACCGCCUUGGGUGGAAGGUACCGUUCCUGGGCCAGGGGGUCACCGCCUUGGGUGGAAGGUACCAUUCCUGGGCAAAGGGGGGGUCACCGCCUUGGGUGGAAGGUACCAUUCCCAGCAAAUGGGACCCCACUGUGGGAUCGUAUCUGUCAGGCCUCUGAGUCAAAGCUCAGCCCUUAUAACCCCCUGUGACCUGCACAAAUACAUCCAGUUGGCCUGCAGGAGCCAAGAAGUCUGCAGCAAAGAAAAAGAAAACUACAAAGAAGUAAAACAGCCAGUUCCUGCCUUAACUAAAAUUACAAUAUUUUACUAUUGGGACUUGUCCCUGCCCUACCUUAGCUGAUCAAUCAGCUCUGUGAUGUUCUUUUUCUGGACAACGAGUCUUAUGAUCUGUCCACCAUGCACCUUACAACCCCCUCCUCUGCUAACAAGAGAUAACUACCUUUGGUUGUAAUUUUCCAUUACCUACCCAACUCCUGUAAAGCCACCCCUUCCCCAUCUCCCUUUGCUGACUCUCUUUUCCGACUCAGCCCACUGGCACCCAAGCGAAUAAACAGCUUUAUUGCUCACACAAAGCCGUUUGGUGGUCUUUUCACACGGACGCGCGUGACGCUUAUCCAGCAGUACUUCCUGCAGAACCCUGAUCUUUUUAAAAAAUCCACCACUUCAAAAUGUAUUGUGUGGAGGGCUUCGGGAUGGAAGGAGUCUCCUCUCCCAAGCUUUGGGGGAGGAAGGGCUGAAAGUGACCGCUUAAGCCCCCUCUACCCCACCCAGCUUUCCCUUAUAAAGGAGAUCCUAUGCUGAGUUUGGAUAAGGUAUUAUAGAUCCACAGGUGCACGCCUUUGCUUCAAGCUAUUGCAUCUAAAUUGUAAGGUUUUAUUUAAUUUGAAGGCCCUUCUUUUUCCUUUGCUUUUGUUUUUUGUUUAUUUUGUUUUUCUCUCUAGCUUAUCAUUCAUACUGACAGAUCCUGAGAUCCACAGUGACCUGUGGAAUUUUCAGAGGACAGCGCUAAAACCGGCAGGUCAGGGCGUCAGUGACUAAUGUGGUUUGCAGCAAACACCCGGAGGGGCAGGGCUCUGACUGCAGGCUCUGUGUCUGUGCCCUUGGACAGAGGCUCAACCCCCGCGUCCGGGACUUUGAAGUUAGAAAUGAUGUGUCCGUGUGAAAGUCGCUAAAUUAAUUUCCGAGGGACCAGCAAACACUGCGGGGCAGCUGAUAGGAAAUUGGUAGAAAUUUGAAAUGGAAAUCCAAGAAGGAGAGCCACGGGGAAGGAGGAGGGGUGCGGGGAAGGAGGAGGGGUGCGGGGAAGGAGGAGGGGAGCGGGGAAGGAGGAGGGGAGCGGGGAAGGAGGAGAAGAGAGGAAUCCUCACAGCAAGGGAGGGAAAGAGAGGAGCAGGAAAAUGCAGGGGUGGGGGG
ensembl:lincRNA